rnacentral:miRNA from 9 species
CCUUGUCACUUGUUCGUCUCGU